rnacentral:rRNA from 1 species
AUUGAACGCUGGCGGCAUGCCUUACACAUGCAAGUCGAACGGUAACAGGUCUUCGGAUGCUGACGAUUGGCGAACGGGUGAGUAAUACAUCGGAACGUGCCCGAUCGUGGGGGAUAACGAAGCGAAAGCUUUGCUAAUACCGCAUACGAUCGACGGAUGAACGCCGGGGACCGCGAGGCCUUGCGCGAGCGGAGCGGCCGGUGGCAGAUUAGGUAGAUGGUGGGAUAAAAGCUUAGCAAGCCGACGAUCUGGAGCUGGUCUGAGAGUGCGACCAGCCACACUGGGACUGAGACACGGACCAGACUCCUACGAGAGGCAGCAGUGGGGAAUUUUGGACAAUGGGCGAAAGCCUGACACAGUCAUGCCGAGUGCAGGAUGAAGGCCCUCGGGUUGUAAACUGCUUUUGUACGGAACGAAAAGACUCUGGUUAAUACCUGGGGUCCAUGACGGUACCGUAAGAAUAAGCACCGGCUAACUACGUG